AACACACUUGAGAAAACAAAACAGAACGUGCGAUCUCGAUCAAGGCCACUAAAGAUGAGCAGUGUUGCCAAUCUCAUUACUCUUAUACCAUGAUACACAGUGCAGAACACUCCUCCACAACAGACAAAAUAUGAAAGCCACAUGACCUAAUACAUCCGAUAUCACAGAAGAUCGUAUCAACAGAAGUCACACAGCAAGAAGCAAGAUACCAAAAUGCAGUAAACAUAUCGACAUAGGAGGAACUGCGCCAACUCAACAUCAUACGAGCAUCCAGCCUUAACACAAAAACACGACAGACCAUCGGAAGUUUGGAAUUCAGUGGACAGUAAUAGAAAUGACUGGAGCACUACAGGAGAAAACCAGAGUUAGGGAAAAGGUACAGUAAUGUUCCUUCUUUAUAACUGUUUCACAGAUAAUAACAACUCAUACACAAAAAAGAAACAUUCAGGCAUUUGUAUAAAUGGACAGAAAAAAAAUCUCAUCUGAAAGGAAGGCUUACCUCAGUUUCAUCUUUUUGUAUUGAAGUUCCUGACUGUAUAUGAACCUCAUCAGAUACCACGCUAAUGGAAUCUUUUUCA